rnacentral:rRNA from 1 species
UGUGUAGGCGGACCGUUAAGUGCUUUGUGAAAUCCCACGGCUUAACCGUGGAACUGCUUGGCAUACUGGCGGUCUUGAGCUGCCCAGGGGCAACUGGAACAAGCGGUGGAGCGGUGAAAUGCGUAGAUAUCGCUUGGAACGCCAACGGUGAAAACAGGUUGCUGGGGGCAAGCUGACGCUGAGACACGAAAGCCAGGGGAGCAAACG